rnacentral:rRNA from 1 species
GAAGCGGCCUUCGGGCCGUGAGUAGAGCGGCAGACGGGUGAGUAACACGUGGGUAACCUGUCCUCAGGUGGGGGAUAACUCGGGGAAACUCGAGCUAAUACCGCAUGACAUCGCCAGGGCCUCGGCCCAGGCGAUCAAAGCCGGGGAUCCUUCGGGACCUGGCGCCAGAGGAGGGGCCCGCGCCCGAUUAGCUUGUUGGUGAGGUAACGGCCUACCGAGGCGACAAUCGGUAGCCGGCCUGAGAGGGCGACCGGCCACACUGGGACUGAGACACGGCCCAGACUCCUACGGGAGGCAGCAGUGAGGAAUCAUGCGCAAUGGGGGCAACCCUGACGCUGCGACGCCGCGUGGGCGAUGAAGGCCUUCGGGUCGUAAAGCCCUGUCGAGAGGGAAGAAAAACCCGGUCGCGAAUACCGGCCGGGUUCGACGGUACCUCUGGAGGAAGCCCCGGCUAACUCCGUGCCAGCAGCCGCGGUAAUACGGAGGGGGCGAGCGUUGUUCGGAAUUACUGGGCGUAAAGCGCGCGUAGGCGGUCUGGUAAGUCGGAUGUGAAAGCCCUCGGCUCAACCGAGGAAUUGCAUCCGAUACUGCCAGGCUUGAGUCCGGUAGGGGGUAGCGGAAUUCCGGGUGUAGCGGUGGAAUGCGUAGAUAUCCGGAGGAACACCGAUGGCGAAGGCGGCUACCUGGGCCGGUACUGACGCUGAGGCGCGAAAGCUAGGGGAGCAAACAGGAUUAGAUACCCUGGUAGUCCUAGCUGUAAACGAUGGGCACUUGGUGUCGCGGGUUUCUACCCCUGCGGUG